rnacentral:lncRNA from 1 species
CCCCAGUCAGGACAAAUGAGAAUGUCUCGCUGGCAAACUGAUGGAUGGGGGCCCAGUCCUUCGCAUCAGGAAAGCAAAACUGGGGAAUAGCUUUCAACUGAUCUUCUGCCUCGCGCAUGAAUUUGAACGAGCGCUCAAGCUUCAGUGGAAACUGCUGGGUAACCUCAGGGAUGUAGGCAGCUCCAGCCUGCUUCUUGUGCAGUGACACCACGACGAAGUACUCAAACAGCUGCCUUUCUUGAUAUUCAAUCAAGUCCCGUUCCAAGGUUUGAUACCGUGGCGUUUGCUUCAGGCGAGAUUUCACGUGGACAAGGCGCUGGCUGUGAGCUUUCAGCUUCUCUUCUGUAUCACUGUCUGAUUCACUAUUUUCAUCUGUAACUUUUCCUGAAUUGCUCUCUGUAGACUGCGAUAGCCUCUUGACACGUUUCUUUCCCCUCCGUGCCUCAUAAAUGGCAUUGAUUUUCAACACAAGCUUGGGAAUCUUCCUUCUCCUCUUUCCGUUCUGAGGGUCUCCCAAGGAGAAGAAGGUGUCAUCUGGGCUGCUGGGAGUCGAGGGAGGGCUGAUUUUGGAUGGCGACCCAGUUCCAUCACGGCUCAGUUUCCGUAUGUCUGGCAGUUUGAAACUCCGCCGCUCUGAGUUUUGUCGAAAAAAAGUGGGCUUGGAAAGCAACUGAAAAUGGAAGAGAAGGAAUGAAUGAACACAGCACUUCGUGUACCUUUGCUUCAUCGCUAACACUGUCACAGUAGUACAUCCAGUGGGGAGUCC